UACGUAGGGUGCGAGCGUUGUCCGGAAUUAUUGGGCGUAAAGAGCUUGUAGGCGGUCUGUCGCGUCUGCUGUGAAAAUCCGGGGCUCAACCCCGGACUUGCAGUGGGUACGGGCAGACUAGAGUGUGGUAGGGGAGACUGGAAUUCCUGGUGUAGCGGUGAAAUGCGCAGAUAUCGUAAGGAAGACCAGUGGCGAAGGCGGGUCUCUGGACAGUUCCUGACACUGAGACACGAAGGCCAGGGGAGCAAACGGG
rnacentral:rRNA from 1 species